GAUUAAGCCAUGCAAGUCUAAGUAUAAGCCAAAUUAAGGUGAAACCGCAAAAGGCUCAUUAAAUCAGUUAUGGUUCCUUGGAUCGUACAAUCCAUUACUUGGAUAACUGUGGUAAUUCUAGAGCUAAUACAUGCAAACAGAAUCCCGACCAGAGAUGGAAGGGACGCUUUUAUUAGAUCAAAACCAAUCGGGGCUUGCCCCGCACUUCUUGGUGACUCUGAAUAACUUUAAGCUGAUCGCACGGUCCUCGUACCGGCGACGCAUCUUUCAAAUGUCUGACUUAUCAACUGUCGAUGGUAGAUUCUGCGCCUACCAUGGUUGUAACGGGUAACGGGGAAUCAGGGUUCGAUUCCGGAGAGGGAGCCUGAGAAACGGCUACCACAUCCAAGGAAGGCAGCAGGCGCGCAAAUUACCCACUCCCGGCACGGGGAGGUAGUGACGAAAAAUAACGAUACGGGACUCAUCCGAGGCCCCGUAAUCGGAAUGAGUACACUUUAAAUCCUUUAACGAGUACCAAUUGGAGGGCAAGUCUGGUGCCAGCAGCCGCGGUAAUUCCAGCUCCAAUAGCGUAUAUUAAAGUUGUUGCGGUUAAAAAGCUCGUAGUUGGAUCUGUGUCUAACGGUGUCGGUUCACCGCUCGCGGUGUAACUGGCGCGCCGGUUGGACGUCCUGCCGGUGGCGGUCCUGGCUUUCGGUUUUGUGUAGGUUCUCCGAAGCAUGCCGAUUGUCCAGGCCGCCGAUUCAAUCCCGCCGCGGUGCUCUUCACUGAGUGUCGAGGUGGGCCGGCACGUUUACUUUGAACAAACAAAACAGGCCCGUACACCGGAAGGAUUGACAGAUUGAUAGCUCUUUCUUGAUUCGGUGGGUGGUGGUGCAUGGCCGUUCUUAGUUGGUGGAGCGAUUUGUCUGGUUAAUUCCGAUAACGAACGAGACUCUAGCCUGCUAACUAGGCGCUCCGGUAUCCACAAUAGUGCUACCGGCGAAUAAAUUUCUUCUUAGAGGGACAGGCGGCUUCUAGCCGCACGAGACUGAGCAAUAACAGGUCUGUGAUGCCCUUAGAUGUCCUGGGCCGCACGCGCGCUACACUGAAGGAAUCAGCGUGUCUUCCCUGGCCGAAAGGUCCGGGUAACCCGUUGAACCUCCUUCGUGCUAGGGAUUGGGGCUUGCAAUUGUUCCCCAUGAACGAGGAAUUCCCAGUAAGCGCGAGUCAUAAGCUCGCGUUGAUUACGUCCCUGCCCUUUGUACACACCGCCCGUCGCUACUACCGAUUGAAUGAUUUAGUGAGGUCUUCGGACUGGUGCGCGGCGAUCGCCUCGUGUGGUCGCCGAUGUUGCCGGGAAGAUGACCAAACUUGAUCAUUUAGAGGAAGUAAAAGUCGUAAC
rnacentral:rRNA from 1 species